UAUUGGCAGCAGCUGUUUUUGACGUAUGUCGGAGUUUCAAAUCUGUCAAAAAAUCCCACCAUUCCCCCGGGUUCGGUUCAGUGUGCAGCCUAUAAGUCAGAAUUGCUGUUUACACUUGACAAACUCAAGUUAUCGAGUUUGACUGCUGACAUGGGCGAGUGUUUAUAAAUAAACCAAAUUAUGCUUAUAUACAUACAUAUGUUUAAGAAGAAGGUGCCAUAAGUCUGCAAAAAUGUAUGUUAUGGAGAAUUGCUCAAUUUCUGAAAAGCAGAGAAAUGGCGAAGCAGAGUUCAGUAAGAAGUAAGAACAAUUUGUGCAUGAACAUUGCGUGUGGAAUUCAAAUGUAAGGGAAAAAGCUAUACGGCACGCUUUGCGGCUAAAUUUACAAAUUUUGUGUGAAUAACAAGUUUUAAAAAGUUCAAUAUAAUGGUGAAAGUCGGCAGAUUCAUUUGCAAUGUUUUGCAUCACUGCCAGUUUUCUUCCACUGUUUCAAUGAUUUUUUCGACGGGGUGUUUUGUAUAUUUUCUUCAUAUUCUCAAUUUAUUUUUUUACCUCGAAAUGCCACGGUCAGUAUUCUUAUAAUUAUUCGGCCAUAUCCUUAAUUUCUGCGAUUUUUCCUCACGUCCAUUUCGUAAGUCUAGAAAUGGCCACAGGUGUCUCACAAAUCUCUUAUCCAAUGACAAGAUUGGUUUGAUGUAUCCUUUUAAAGGAUUUAAUGAUUGUUAACAUUACCUCCAUUUUUCACAUCUUAUUUUGUUUUUUGGUGAUAGUUCAGGAUAGGCACAUAGGGUUGAAAAAGGGUUACGAAAAUCGAAUCAACUUUUUACCCUAUGAAUAUCCUAUGUAAAACAAAUCUGAGUGUUGCCACUAACCAUAUGGUACAUAGAUGUGCCUGUACAUACAACCAACAUUUUACACAGCCAACACAGAAAAUUAAAUCCCAGGGUCUUCGGUUCUGGUAUUCGGCAACGCUUUGCAUGUGUUAGUAUAACACGCACAAUCUUUUCCAUUAAAAAAUGUAAUUGUAUGCUUAUUUCGUUUUUUAGAGUUCUGGGUUUCUGUUUUGCUUUCAGCUUACUUUAUUGUAUGUGUGCACACGCAUUUUCACGUACUUUGUACCGCAAGGCAGCGUGCUUGGGCCGACACUGUCCUGCUUAUUCACCCACGACAUGCCAUAUCUCUCUACGGUCCGAAGGCAAACUGGGCAGACCCUCAAGGUGGCAACAUUUGCUGAUGACACAGCAGUACUCUCGAGAGCUAGCUGUGUCUAUGAUGCCACAGACAAUCUAUGCAAUACCUCAAGCUGUUUGAAAACUGGGCCUGUCGAUGGAACAUCUCCAUAAACCCUGAAAAAUGUGUAGUGGUGACGCACUGUAUUAGAAUGGGCUCUGGACCUGGUGUCUUCCUGCUUGGCAAUCUUAUGGAGCAGCGUAGGAGUCCCACAUACCUCGGAGUUACACUGGAUGUACGUUUAAUUUUCGACAGUCACAUCCGUAUCGUGAGGAGCAAGUUGGUGGGUAAGGUGUAAUAUGAGCUUUAGUUUUUACCGAGUUUGUUCGGUUCUCGUUUAUUAAUCAUUCUGGGUUCUAAGGGGCUAAUUUAAUAAUAAAAGGCUGGGCGCUGCUUCGGCAGAGAAGCCAGCGUCAGCGCUGUACAUAAACGUACAUAUAUAACAAACAUAUAAGUGGAUAAACAUGUAUGGCAACGAGAACGUUGCCAUUUGACGGAGGUUGGUUUGCACAAGUGUUUUAUUUCAUGGUCAGUAUCCUACGGAUAUGCUGACACUGCUUUGAUUGUGCCCGCUAAACUCAAGGGCGAUCAUAUUGCAUCGCACUUGGAAUGUGCUGGGUACUUGUGUUUGUUGAGUCUACAAGAAUGUGUAGUUGUUUUCAAUAAGUCUGUAAAUUAUGAGUUUGUAUAUUUGAUAUAUACUGAUUACUAGACCUCGGAUUUUGCAUAUUUGCAUAUUUUCAUCUGAUUUUUACCAAAAUUUUUAUUGCAAAACAUAUGCAAAAUAUAUGCAAUCAAAAUAUGCCAAAAAUAAGCAAAAUAUACGCAGCAUAUGCAAAAAAUAUGCAAAAUAUAUGCACACGAAUUUCAUCAAAAAAUUGAAGCAAUACUACUUUCCCUUGUCCAACGCUUUACCAUAUAUUGUUGUGUUUUUCUUAUCGCAAGCCCGGCUUAAAACAAGAGCCAAGCUUUUUUUCUUAUCGCAAGCCGGACUUGAAACCAGAGCAAAGCUUUAUGACAACACCAAAGAUAUGCAGCUUCUUUAUAUGGAGUCUCUCUGUAACAUAUUGUUACUGUAAUUUCUUAUCAGUUUGAUCUCUGGCGUUAUUUUAAGCUAUUGAUUUGCGCGUUUGCUUUACUUUUCUACAGUCUUAGAAGUGAAGUGUAGUAAAAUGCCGAAAAUUAGCAGGUAUAAAAGAAAUUUGUUAGGAAAAUGGUUUAACAGCCUUUCCGAAAAGUGUUUUAAAGUUGUUGUUGUCGUAACAGCCUUCUGCUGGUUUCACACGGGCCACUUGACGGUGCAGUAACUGCAGCAACGUCCAGAAUUAACCUAUCCUUAUGUACUUUUUGUUCUUUAUUUCUAUUGCCUUUAAUAAAAAUAUUGUUAUCUUCUACUGAUACUACUGUAUAAGGUCAUAAGUAUUUUGCACUUACAAUUUUACUGUAAAAUCCAUCACUUUUUUAUUUUGUUAUCAUUAUCAUUGUUAUCAUUGCUAUCAUCCAUCAUUAUUUUGUUAUGACCGGCCUCUUUACCACCCAGGGGUGUAGGGGUGUUUCCGACCCGAUAGACGGAUUAACAAAAAAAAAAAAAAACAUACAAAAAUUGUACUCAUUGGCACUAUCUUAAGCGGGGAUAUUUGAUAUUAUUUUCCAUGAGCGUGGUCCCACCCUUCCAUGAGCGCCAUUUUUUAAAUUCGCUCGCUCCUUUUUCAUUUUCAGGGUCCCGCUCUUUUUCCCGCUCUCGUCCCACCCAACUACCGUUUUCUACUCACUCAUGAAUACGUUUUACUUUCAUAUUAUAUUCAUGUUAUAUUUUCUUAUUUAUCUAUUUUCUUAACAAUAUUAAUUAAUAACCUAGAUUCUGCCGACGAAUACAAAUACUAAUACAAAAAAAUACUAACAGAAAUACUACAGUCGGUGCUCAGCUGGAUUCCUUGGUCCCGGUGGUUCUCGCACCAGGUUUCCGACCUGGCCAGUACCGGGCUGCUGCUGCCGAUGUCCGCCGCUUUCGCUGAUGUUGAUGCCUGCCGUUGAUGUCUUCGUGGGAUCUUCGUCUCCACGAUCACCAAUUUUUUCUUUUUUUUUUCUUUCAGAGCACUUGCGGCCUCCUCUAUUUUCCACCGGAAACUCCCCUUUUUUUUCUCGUCCCGUUUCCUUUUCUCCCACGCAACUCUGCCACUGCUUGCCAGGAUCCACAAUAGAUGUCGCUGUCUUUUUCUUCUCCAGCCCUGAUACCUAUCGGAUCUCUCUAAAACCGCCCAUAACAACUCACUACCGUUUCCAGGAUUACUCGAAACGGGAGUGCAAAGCAAGGCGGGCUUUUUCAAUUAAGGGGCCCCAAACGUAUGCCAUCGCCCACACCCUGAGAUUGAGAGUCUCUGGCUCCAUCGACUGAGAUGCCCGGGCUACUGCUUCAGAUCCUUUGGGUGAAACACUCAAAUACGUGAGCUUUGCAACGUCUCCAGCUCGUACAGACUGCUGCCCAUACUCCGGAUCACUCGGCACUUUACGUAUUUUGGGCUGAACUUUGCGUUGAUGUUGUUUUUAAAAUUGCUCAACACGAAAUUCCGCUUAUAUAUCUCCCGACCCGGCUUCAUGAGAGUUUCCUCGGACCUCAUCUCGGACUAUUUCCAUCUUAUCACUCCUCGCAAAGGGUGCAUAGUUCACCCGGUGCAUAAUUCCCCCGGUUGAGAUGUAUGAGCGUAUGAACUAAUUGAAUGUUCUGUGGCUUCGCUUCACGGUUCCUACAGUCUGGUGAUGAUGUGCGGUAGAUGUUGGUUAUGAAUUAGUGGACUGUAUAAUCGUUUAUAUCUUGAGCUUAUUUAUUUUAUUGAUUAUUUAA